rnacentral:rRNA from 1 species
CCUACGGGAGGCUGCAGUGGGGAAUAUUGCACAAUGGGGGAAACCCUGAUGCAGCAACGCCGCGUGAGUGAUGAAGGUUUUCUGAUCUUAAACUUCUAUCAUCAUUUAAUAAUAAAUUUACAGUACCUUACUAAUAAGCCCCUGCUAACUACUUUCCAGCAUCCGCGUUAAUACUUAGGGGUCAAUCGUUAUCCGUAAUCACUGGGUGUAAAGGGUGCGUAGGCGGUAGGGCAAGGCAGAUGUGAAAGCCCGGGGAUCCACACCGGGAUUGCAUUGGAAAAUGUCUUACUAGAGUGCAGGAGAGGAAAGAGGAAUUGAUAGUGUAGAGGUGAAAUGAGUAGAUAUUAGGAAGAAAACAAGUGGAGAAGGAGGAUUUAUGGAAUGUAAAUGAAGCUGAGGAACGAAAGAGUGGGGAGAGAAAAGGAUUAGAUAACAUGGUAGUC